rnacentral:rRNA from 1 species
UAGGGAAUCUUCCACAAUGGACGCAAGUCUGAUGGAGCAACGCCGCGUGAGUGAAGAAGGUUUUCGGAUCGUAAAGCUCUGUUGUUGGUGAAGAAGGAUAGAGGCAGUAACUGGUCUUCAUUUGACGGUAAUCAACCAGAAAGUCACGGCUAACUACGUGCCAGCAGCCGCGGUAAUACGUAGGUGGCAAGAGUCGGCCGGAUGUAUUGGGGGUAAAGCGAGCGCAGGCGGAAUGGUAAGUCUGAUGUGAAAGCCCACGGCUCAACCGUGGAACUGCAUCGGAAACUGUCAUACUUGAGUGCAGAAGAGGAGGGUGGAAUUCCAUGUGUAGCGGUGGAAUGCGUAGAUAUAUGGAAGAACACCAGUGGCGAAGGCGGCUCUCUGGUCUGCAACUGACGCUGAGGCUCGAAAGCAUGGGUAGCGAACAGG